rnacentral:rRNA from 1 species
AUGGACCUCACUGAGAAGGAUAAGGAGGAGCCGGCGAGGAAGAGGAGGGAGACGGGGCAGGUGCUGGAUCCCGUCAGGAUUGUGGGGAAGAAGAGGAGGAACAAUGAUGACGGGAUUCUUGAGGAGGAUUGCAAGAAUGUCUUGCUCGACGAUCCAACCACAGCCACAGUUUCUGAUCCUGUUAUUGAAUCAUGUGCCAAAAAUGAAGUCGAGCAAUCUGGUGCUCAACUGCCAGUCCUUGAGGAAGCUUGCUUAUUCACAUCAUCUGAUAUCUCGACACUGUUUGAUGGCUCGGUGAGUUCUUCGUUGGGCUCCAUGAGACCCCUUGGUGAGAAGCUCGACAAAUUGCUAGCUCCUGCUCAGGAAUACUACAGGAGGUUGCCCAAGAGGACCAAGGAGGGGAUGCACCUUCUCAAAGAUGAUGUUGAAGUGAUAAGCUCCUACCUUGAUGAACUAUCAGAGGUGGAGGACCCUCCCCCAAUGGCCAUGUGCUGGAUGAAUGAGGCACGUGACCUGUCUUAUGAUAUGGAGGAUUACAUUGACAGCUUAUUAUUUGUGCCACCUGAUCGUUUCUUCAAAAAGAAGAAGAAGGGGAGGAGGAAGAAGAUGAUGAUAAAGAAGAUGCUUAAGUGGUACAAACAGGUUGCAUUCACAGCGCAAGUGUCAGAACAUGGUAUCAUGACCAGUAAAAUCAUUCAUGUUAAUGUCCCUCGUCUUCCCAGUAAGCCCAAGAUUGCAGAAACAAUAUCGGAGUUCAGGAUCUAUGUCCAGGAGGCUAUUGAACGGCACAAUAGGUAUAAGCUCCAUUGUUGCAGCAACUUGAGGAGGCGUACAUUCUUAUCCACUGGCCGUAUGCUUCCAAUGCCAUAUGAAGAAACCGAUGAUCACGUAGUAAUCGAUGGCCAGAUGAAUGAGUUUAUCAACUCACUGGCCGCUAACGAUGCGGCAGAUCAGCAGCAGCUCAAGGUGGUAUCUGUUCUUGGAACUGGAUGUCUGGGUAAAACUACACUUGCCAAAGUGUUGUACAACAGAAUUGGGAUGCAAUUUGAUUGCAGAGCUUUCAUUCGAGUUUCCAAAAAGCCUGAUAUGAAGAGACUUCUCCACGACUUGUUCUCGCAACUCCAUCAGAAGAAGCAACCACUACCCACCAAUUGUAAUGAACUUGGCAUCAGCGACAUUAAUAUCCGUAAACAUCUGCAAGAUAAAAGGUAUCUAAUUGUUAUUGAUGAUUUGUGGGAUGCAUCGGUAUGGGAUAUUAUUAAAUCUGCUUUUCCGAAGGGAAACCGUGGUAGCAGAAUAAUAAUAACCACACAGAUUGAAGAUGUUGCAUCAACAUGUUGCUGUGAUCACUCAGAGCAUGUUUUCGAGAUGAAACCUCUCGAUGAUGAUCACUCAAGAAAGCUAUUCUUUAGCAGACUUUUUGGUUCUGAAAGUGACUGUCCCGAAGAAUUGAAACAAGUUUCAAACGAAAUUGUUGAUAUAUGUGGUGGUCUGCCGCUAGCAACAAUCAACAUAGCUAGUCAUUUAGCGAACCAGGAGACAGAAGUAUCAAUGGAUUUGCUGGCAUACACACGUGAUGCGUUGAGGUCCUAUUUGUGGUCAAAUUCUACUUCAGAAAGAACAAAACAAGUACUGAACCUCAGCUACAAUAAUCUUCCUCAUUAUCUAAAGACAUGCUUGCUGUAUCUUAAUAUGCAUCCAGAGGGCUCCAUAAUCUGCAAGGAUGAUGCGGUGAAGCAGUGGGUGGUUGAAGGCUUCAUCGCUCCAAGAAAAGGGAAAGAGCAAGGUCAGGACUGGAUGGAGAAAAUUGCAGGAAUCUAUUUCGAUGAACUUAUUGAUAGAAGAUUCAUCCAACCUUUAUAUAUCAACUAUAACAAUAAGGUGUUGUCCUGUACGGUUCAUGACGUGGUACGUGAUCUUAUUGCACACAAGUCUGCAGAAGAGAAUUUCAUUGUGGUAGUAGACUACAAUCGAAAGAAUAUAGCACUUACCCACAAGGUUCGUCGACUAUCUCUCAUCUUUGGUGAUGGAAAAUACGCCAAGACACCAGAAAACAUCACAAAGUCACAAGUUCGAUCACUUAGAUUUUUUGGAUUAUUCAAGUGUAUGCCUUGUAUCAGAGAGUUCAAGGUUCUCCGUGUUCUGAACCUUAUACUAUCUGGUCAUUGUGGCGACUAUGACCCCAUAGACCUCACUGGUAUUUCAGAACUUUUUCAGCUGAGAUACUUGAAGAUUGCAAGUGAUGUCUGUAUAAAACUACCAAACAGUAUGCGGGGCCUGAAAUGUUUGGAAACACUGGAUGUUAUGGAUGCAACAAGAGUCACUGCUGUUCCAUGGGAUAUUAUACAACUCCCACACUUGUUGCACCUAAUUCUUCCUGUUGACACAAAUCUGCUGGAUUUGGUUGGCAACCUGAGUGACUCAGUUAUCCAUCAGUGGAGCCUUGGUAAGCUGAACUGCCUGCAGGAUCUUCAUCUCACCUUUUCUUCUACAUCACCUGACGACCAUCUGGAAACAAGCAUGGAAGUUCUGGCUUAUUUAAUUGGAGGACAUGGCAAUUUGAAAACUGUAGUAAUUGCUCAUGGUUCCUCGGUAGAAAAUACUGUGGUUCCUGGCGCCUCAAAAGUAAUCCCUCCAUGGUAUCGCAUGGCACCUCCCCCCCUUCUGCAAAGACUUGAAUUCUCACCACACAGCUGCUGCAUAUUCUCACGAAUUCCUCCAUGGAUUGAGAAACUUGGCAACCUAUGCAUUUUGAAGAUUCCACUGAGGGAACUGAAGAUGAUUUGUAUUGAUACUCUUGGUGGAUUAUGUGCUCUCACUGCUUUAUCCCUGUAUGUGGAGACGCCACCCAUUCAAAAGAUCAUUUUUGAUAAAGCAGUCGGGUUCUCAGUUCUCAAGCACUUCAAGUUGAGGUUCACGACUGGUAUAGCUUGCCUAAAAUUCGAGGAAGAUGCAAUGCCUAAUCUCUUGAAGCUCAAGCUAGUUUUCAAUGCCAUCCCACCAAUGGGCCAACCUUUUUUUUUCCGUAUGGGUCAAGUCCGACAGAAAGUACAACAUGAACAUGGUACUGCAGUUAUUAGCAUCGAGCAUAUGCCAGGGCUUAGAGAGAUUUCCACAAAAUUUGGUGGCACAGCUUCUGAUCUAGAGUAUGCCUCGAGGACUGUUGUUAGUAACCAUCCAAGCAAUCCUACAAUCAAGAUGCAAUUGGUAGGUUAUAGUUCCAAUGUUGACAGAAGUACGAAACAAAAACAACAGCCAGAUGACAUUCUGGAGGAACAACCAGAUGGUGAAUAUGACAAGAGAUUGGAGAGAUCAGCUGAUCAAAGGAUUUCAACGUCACUUGAGUCUAAUUUGCGGCUGGAUGUUCCAGAAAUUACACCAACACUUGUGCAGAUUACAGGCGGCGGUGAUGAUGUGCGGGAGCACAUGUUUGACAAGGUGGUGACAGCAAGCGACGUGGGGAAGCUGAACCGGCUGGUGGUGCCCAACCAGUUCGCGGAGAAGUACUUCCCACUGGAUGUGGCGGCGAACGAGAAGGGACUCCUGCUCAAUUUUGAGGACCGUGGGGGCAAGCUCUGGAACUUCCGCUACUCCUACUCCAACAACAGCCAGAGCUACAUCAUGACCAUGGGGUGGAGCGCCUUCGUCCGCGACCACCACCUCGCCACAGGCGACACGGUCUCCUUCUACCGUGCCGGCACACGCCUCUUCAUCGACUGCCGGGUGCGCGGCCAGAUUUUAGCGCCCGUGACACAAGCCGUCAUGCCGGCAUCGGCUUCACCAGCCCUCAAGUAG